AGUAACGCGUGAGGAACCUGCCUCGAAGAGGGGGACAACAGUUGGAAACGACUGCUAAUACCGCAUAAGCCCACGGCUCGGCAUCGAGCAGAGGGAAAAGGAGCAAUCCGCUUUGAGAUGGCCUCGCGUCCGAUUAGCUAGUUGGUGAGGUAAUGGCCCACCAAGGCGACGAUCGGUAGCCGGACUGAGAGGUUGAACGGCCACAUUGGGACUGAGACACGGCCCAG
rnacentral:rRNA from 1 species